rnacentral:tRNA from 1 species
GCCGAAGUGGUGGAAUGGUAGACACGAGGGACUUAAAAUCCCUUGCCCAUUACGGGCGUGUGGGUUCAAGUCCCACCUUCGGUA